rnacentral:lncRNA from 1 species
CGAGUUUAGGGUGUUACAAUAGAACUCCAACAAGCUUCCAACCGAUUGAGCUUCCGACAAUCUACGAAACAGAGGAAAAAUAACUACGUAAGCAACUCAUGCUUAGUACGCUAAUAAAAGAGAAACUUAAAUUACCAUUUCACCACAUUAAACAUUCAAUCAUGCUUAGUAGUUCAUACAAAUACUUUAUAUUCCUAUUCAAUAUAAUCCACACCAUUAGUAGAAAAUUUAAUCAUAUAACAUCAUAAGACACAACAAAUACCGUGAAGUGAAUUGCAUCCAUUUACCUUGCUCAUAUGAAUAUUCAAUAAUCUUUUCC